rnacentral:rRNA from 1 species
GAUGAACGCUGGCGGCAUGCCUAACACAUGCAAGUCGAGCGGAAGCACAAUAAGAUUUUUCUCUUACGGUUAGCGAGUGACGGACGGGUAACGCAUACAUCGGCAUCUUCUUUUUCGGGGAGGAUUACGGGGAGAAACUUACGCUAAUACCUCAUACGACCAACGGCAUGAAUCAGUGGUGCUUGGCACCUUUCCUGUUUGUAUUAGCCGAUGCCGGAUUAGCUAGUUGGCUUGGUAAAGGCCCACCAAGGCAACGAUCCGUAGCUGGGCUGAGAGGAUGAUCAGCCACACUGGAACUGAGACACGGUCCAGACUCCUACGGGAGGCAGCAGUGGGGAAUAUUGGGCAAUGGGCGAAAGCCUGACGCAGCAAUGCCGCGUGGGUGAAGAAGGCCUUCGGGUUGUAAAGCUCUUUUGUUAGGAAAGAAAAGCAGUAGGUGAAUCCACGGACGUCUUGACGGUACCCAAAGAGUAAGCAACGGCUAACUUCGUG